UGAGGUUAAGUUAACAAGGGCGCAUGGUGAAUGCCUUGGCACUAGGAGCCGAUGAAGGACGGGACUAACACCGAUAUGCUUCGGGGAGCUGUACGUAAGCUAUGAUCCGGAGAUUUCCGAAUGGGGCAACCCAGCAGUUUUAAUCAACUGUUACCACUAGAUGAAUUCAUAGUCUAGUUGGAGGUAAACGCUGUGAACUGAAACAUCUCAUUAGCAGCAGGAAUAUAAAGAAAUUUCGAUUCCCUAAGUAGCGGCGAGCGAACGGGGAACAGCCCAAACCAAAGUGCUUGCACUUUGGGGUUGUAGGACUGAACAUUUGAGUUACCAAAGAACUUGAUAGUCGAAGGAUUUGGGAAAAUCCGCCAUAGAUGGUGAUAGCCCAGUAGAUUAAAUCAAAUUCUCUCAGUUCAGGAUCCUGAGUACGGCGGAACACGUGAAAUUCCGUCGGAAUCCGGGAGGACCAUCUCCCAAGGCUAAAUACUACCUAGUGACCGAUAGUGAACCAGUACCGUGAGGGAAAGGUGAAAAGCACCCCGGGAGGGGAGUGAAAUAGUUCCUGAAACCAUGUGCCUACAAUAAGUCAGAGCGCGUUAAUGCGUGAUGGCGUGCCUUUUGUAGAAUGAACCG
rnacentral:rRNA from 1 species